rnacentral:rRNA from 1 species
AUUUAAGCAUAUUAGUCAGCGGAGGAGAAGAAACUAACCAGGAUUCCCUCAGUAACGGCGAGUGAACAGGGAAGAGCCCAGCGCCGAAUCCCCGCCCCGCGGCGGGGCGCGGGACAUGUGGCGUACGGAAGACCCGCUCCCCGGCGCCGCUCGUGGGGGGCCCAAGUCCUUCUGAUCGAGGCCCAGCCCGUGGACGGUGUGAGGCCGGUAGCGGCCCCCGGCGCGCCGGGCCCGGGUCUUCCCGGAGUCGGGUUGCUUGGGAAUGCAGCCCAAAGCGGGUGGUAAACUCCAUCUAAGGCUAAAUACCGGCACGAGACCGAUAGUCAACAAGUACCGUAAGGGAAAGUUGAAAAGAACUUUGAAGAGAGAGUUCAA